rnacentral:rRNA from 1 species
CCUACGGGUGGCAGCAGUGGGGAAUAUUGCACAAUGGGGGAAACCCUGAUGCAGCGACGCCGCGUGAGUGAAGAAGUAUUUCGGUAUGUAAAGCUCUAUCAGCAGGGAAGAAAAUGACGGUACUAGAUUAAGAAGCCCCGGCUACCUACGGGCCAGCAGCCGCGGCAAUACGUAGGGGGCAAGCGUGAUCCGGAUUUACUGGGUGUAAAGGGAGCGUAGGCGGCAGCACAAGUCUGGAGUGAAAGGCCUGGGCUUAACCCCGGGAGUGCUUGGGAAACUGUGCAGCUAGAGUGCAGGAGAGGGAAGUGGAAUUCCUAGUGUAGCGGUGAAAUGCGUAGAUAUUAGGAGGAACACCAGUGGCGAAGGCGGCUUACUGGACUGUAACUGACGCUGAGGCACGAAAGCGUGGGGAGCGAACAGGAUUAGAUACCCCUGUAGUC